rnacentral:rRNA from 1 species
CCCCGAAAUGCAUUUAGGUGCAGCCUCGGAGUUGAGUAUAUUGGAGGUAGAGCUACUGAUAGGGCUAGGGGGCUUCACCGCCUACCAAACCCUGACAAACUCCGAAUGCCAAUAUAUAUAUCCGGGAGUGAGGGCAUGGGUGCUAAGGUCCAUGUCCGAGAGGGGAACAACCCAGACUAUCUGCUAAGGUCCCAAAAUGUGCGCUAAGUUGGUUAAACGUGGUUUAACUGCUUUGACAGCUAGGAUGUUGGCUUGGAAGCAGCCAUUCAUUUAAAGAGUGCGUAACAGCUCACUAGUCGAGCGGUUAAGCGUGGAUAAUAAGCGGGCAUUAAGUGCACUACCGAAGCAGUAGAUUUAUGGUAGGGGAGCAUUCUUAUCGCCGUCGAAGGUGUAUCGUAAGGUAUGCUGGAGGGUUAAGAAAAGAAAAUGUAGGCAUGAGUAACGAUAAAGCAGGUGAAAAACCUGCUCGCCGUAAAACCAAGGGUUCCUCAGCCAUGCUAAUCAGCUGAGGUUUAGUCGGAUC